ACAGAGGGUGCGAGCGUUGUCCGGAAUCACUGGGCGUAAAGGGCGCGUAGGUGGCGGGAUAAGCGUGUGGUGAAAGCCCGGGGCUCAACCCCGUGUCUGCCAUGCGGACCGUUCUGCUUGAGCGUAGUAGAGGCAGGUGGAAUUCCGGGUGUAGCGGUGGAAUGCGUAGAGAUCCGGAAGAACACCGGUGGCGAAGGCGGUCUGCUGGGCUACUGCUGACACUGAUGCGCGACAGCGUGGGGAGCAAACAGGA
rnacentral:rRNA from 1 species